rnacentral:rRNA from 1 species
AAUCCAUAGGUUAAUGAGGCGAACCGGGGGAACUGAAACAUCUAAGUACCCCGAGGAAAAGAAAUCAACCGAGAUUCCCCCAGUAGCGGCGAGCGAACGGGGAGGAGCCCAGAGCCUGAAUCAGCAUGUGUGUUAGUGGAAGCGUCUGGAAAGGCGCGCGAUACAGGGUGACAGCCCCGUACACAAAAGCGCAUGUGCUGUGAGCUCGAUGAGUAGGGCGGGACACGUGGUAUCCUGUCUGAAUAUGGGGGGACCAUCCUCCAAGGCUAAAUACUCCUGACUGACCGAUAGUGAACCAGUACCGUGAGGGAAAGGCGAAAAGAACCCCGGCGAGGGGAGUGAAAAAGAACCUGAAACCGUGUACGUACAAGCAGUGGGAGCACAGGUUUACCU